GAGGUAUCGAGAUCUUCGCAGGACAAGUGUGGGCUCAGGGGUGGAACCUCUUGAUCUAACUUCCAACCUCAGGCGGGGGAGUAGACAGAGUGAGUUUGGUUUAUUCUCUGUGGCACAUAAGGAAAACGGGGUGCAGAGAGUGGCAGUGUGAACUCACUUCCCCCUCUGUAAAGGACCCGAUGGAAGUCCCACCAGGGCAAGGAGCCUGUCCUCCUCACCACUGCGUCCCGAGGACCACGGAUGGGGACUGGCAACACAUUGGGUUCAGUAUCUCGU
rnacentral:lncRNA from 10 species